CUUAAUGUAUUAAGAAUCGUUGAAGGAGCCAUAUCCAAUAUCUUUUUCUUUAGAUUAAUCUUAUGAGAACAAGAUAUUGGGUAUAGCUCCCCCGCCAAUGAAUAAAAUAAGAAGUAUCUAUUUUUUUAUUCCAAAUUAACGACGAGAUUUAUUAUCGUUUCUCGCAUGUCUCGCGAAAGUCAGAGUAGGCGCGAAUUCUCCCAAUUUGUGACCUACCAUACGAUCUGUUAUAUAAAUAGGUAAAUGUUCCUUUCCAUUAUGAAUAGCGAUUGUAUGGCCAAUCAUUUUGGGUAUAAUAGUAGAUGCCCGAGACCAAGUUACUAUUAUUUCUUUCUCCUCCCUCAUGUUGAGUUUUUCCAUUUUUUUAGCUAAAUGAUUAGCUACAAAAGGAUUUUUUUUUAGUGAACGUGUCACAGCCGAUUACUCCUUUUUUUACAUUUUAAAGAUUGCCAUUCUAUGUCCAAUAGAAUAUCUCGAUCUAAGUAUGAAGGUAAGAAUAAAUACAAUAAUGAUGAAUGGAAAAAAGAGAAAAUCCUUUAGCUAGAUAAGGGGCGGAUGUAGCCAAGUGGAUCAAGGCAGUGGAUUGUGAAUCCACCAUGCGCGCCUGUGU
rnacentral:misc_RNA from 1 species